rnacentral:rRNA from 1 species
UAUGGAGGAUCCGAGCGUUAUCCGGAUUUAUUGGGUUUAAAGGGUGCGUAGGCGGCCUGUUAAGUCAGGGGUGAAAGACGGUAGCUCAACUAUCGCAGUGCCCUUGAUACUGAUGGGCUUGAAUGUACUAGAGGUAGGCGGAAUGUGACAAGUAGCGGUGAAAUGCAUAGAUAUGUCACAGAACACCAAUUGCGAAGGCAGCUUACUAUGGUAUAAUUGACGCUGAGGCACGAAAGCGUGGGGAUCAAACAGG